rnacentral:lncRNA from 1 species
AGUGUUAUUUCUAUAUUUUGUACAUGUGUAGGGUCAGGUAAAGGGUCGUGCUCUUUUUUAUGUAUCAAUCCGCGUUGAUGUUGGAGCCGUCUCACCUUUCGGAUGCUCCCGCUGUUGCUGCUCUCAUCGGGCAAACUUUGGGGCAUGUCGUCGUCCGAGGCACCGUCUGACAGAGACGACUCCCUGAAGAUUAAUGGGGGUAUUUCACCAGCACACAGGUGAAGAAAGAGGCUUUGGACAAACUCGUGAAUCCACCUCAACAAGAAAGUGCUCUGAUUUUCUCUGGAAUAUCGGCACGUUUCAUUACGUUCCAGAGUGAGUGUCUGGGGGGCGCUGCUCGAGGGUCUCGUCUAUUGUGACCACGAUCUCCUCCGGUCGUCCUGAUGUCAGGGUAUUGGUGUGAUUCAGGGAGAUGUAGCUCAUUUCCACCAGCCGUGGCCUCUCGCCCCGGUCCGUUCCCUCGUUGAUGUUGGUGGUAAUGUAGCUGAUGGCAGACUCUUUGGGGUGAGCAGCUUGAUGGGAACCAAGUACCCAGUCUGAAGGAAGAAGAGGGGACACUCGCUAAGAAAAUGCACAGAAUAAUCAUUAUGUCCUGUAGCAGUCCUGGACUACAAGGCC